GUUUGGUUGUUUCAAAAUUUAGGGUGUUACCCUGCAUCUCGUGAAAGGAGACGCCUGAGCAGCGACCACAGCUUUGCAAGAUCGAAGUUUGGGUUUCCACCUUCGCUACUUUGAAAUCCUCUACAAGGUUAGGUGAACUAAGCUAUUUGACAUCAACCCUGCUGGCUUCGUGUCCAAGAAGAAAUCAAACUUGAACGAGUAUCCUAAUCCUCUGCUAGAGCUCCUUCGCUGCUCUCCUACCACCAGCUAAAGAAGCCUCCCCACAUCCUCGAUGUCAUUUUGAAGAUCGACCUUGCUUGCAUUUGUGCUUUGGUUAUUUGCUACAAGAAUGG